rnacentral:rRNA from 1 species
GGUUAAGCUGGUAAGAGCACACGGAGGAUGCCUAGGCGCUAGGAGCCGAAGAAGGACGUGGCGAACAACGAUAUGCCCCGGGGAGUCGUAAGCAGACUUUGAUCCGGGGAUGUCCGAAUGGGGGAACCCGGCUGCGGUUAUGCGCAGUCACUCACUUCUGAAUCCAUAGGAAGUGAAGAGGCAGACCAGGGGAACUGAAACAUCUAAGUACCCUGAGGAGAAGAAAACAAUCGUGAUUCCGUCAGUAGCGGCGAGCGAAAGCGGAGGAGCCCAAACCAGAGAGCUUGCUCACUGGGGUUGUGGGACACCUUAUACGGAGUUACAAAGGAGCAGAUUAGGCGAAGAGGUCUGGAAAGGCCUGCCACAGAAGGUAACAGCCCUGUAGCUGAAAGUCUGCUCUCUCCAAGGUGGAUCCCGAGUACGGCGGGACACGGGAAACCCCGUCGGAAUCCGGCAGGACCAUCUGCCAAGGCUAAAUACUCCCUAGCGACCGAUAGUGAAGCAGUACCGUGAGGGAAAGGUGAAAAGCACCCCGGGAGGGGAGUGAAAGAGAACCUGAAACCGUGUGCUUACAAGAAGUCAGAGCCCUAUGAUUUUCUUCGGGAAAUCAGGGUGAUGGCGUGCCUUUUGUAGAAUGAACCGGCGAGUUACGCUUGCAUGCAAGGUUAAGGUGAAGAGCCGGAGCCGCAGCGAAAGCGAGUCUGAACAGGGCAAAGCAUAAGCUUACGAAGUAGCAAUACUUUGUAUUGCUUGGAAGUAUGCAGGCGUAGACCCGAAACCGUGUGAUCUACCCCUGUCCAGGGUGAAGGUGAGGUAACACUCACUGGAGGCCCGAACCCACGAAUGUUGAAAAAUUCGGGGAUGAGGUGGGGGUAGCGGAGAAAUUCCAAUCGAACUCGGAGAUAGCUGGUUCUCCUCGAAAUAGCUUUAGGGCUAGCCUCGGGUUAGAGUGAUGGAGGUAAAGCACUGAUUGGGUGCGGGGCCCGCCAAGGGUUACCAAGUCUAGUCAAACUCUGAAUGCCAUCCACUCGGUGCCCGGGAGUCAGACAGUGAGUGCUAAGAUCCAUUGUCAAGAGGGAAACAGCCCAGAUCAUCAGCUAAGGUCCCCAAGUGUGUGUUAAGUGGGAAAGGAUGUGGAGUUGCACAGACAACCAGGAUGUUGGCUUAGAAGCAGCCACCAUUUAAAGAGUGCGUAAUAGCUCACUGGUCGAGUGACUCUGCGCCGAAAAUGUAACGGGGCUAAAUACACCACCGAAGCUAUGGGUCCUAAUUAAGGGCAGUAGGGGAGCGUUCCAAGCAGCAUAGAAGGUUGACCGUGAGGACAGCUGGAGCGCUUGGAAGUGAGAAUGCCGGUAUGAGUAACGAAAAGAUCAGUGAGAAUCUGAUCCGCCGAAAGCCUAAGGGUUCCUGAGGAAGGUUCGUCCGCUCAGGGUAAGUCGGGACCUAAGGCGAGGCCGAAAGGCGUAGUCGAAGGACAACAGGCAGAAAUUCCUGUACCACCAAACACCGCUAUGAGCGAUGGGGUGACACAGUAGGGUAGGGACGCAAGCUGAUGGAAGUGCUUGUCCAAGCAGUGAGGCUGGUGUGCAGGCAAAUCCGCACACGAUGAAAGCCGGGCUGUGACGGGGAGUGAAAAUAGCAGUAGCGAAGGUCUUGAUCUCACACUGUCAAGAAAAGCCUCUAGCCAGGUGCAGGUGCCCGUACCGCAAACCGACACAGGUAGGCGAGAAGAGAAUUCUAAGGCGCGCGGAAGAACUCUCGUUAAGGAACUCGGCAAAAUGACCCCGUAACUUAGGGAGAAGGGGUGCCCCGGUAGAGUGAAUAGCUCGAGGGGGCCGCAGUGAAUAGGCCCAAGCGACUGUUUAGCAAAAACACAGGUCUAUGCGAAGCCGCAAGGCGAAGUAUAUGGGCUGACGCCUGCCCGGUGCUGGAAGGUUAAGGGGAGUGGUUAGGGCUUAAGGCCCGAAGCUAUGAACCGAAGCCCCAGUAAACGGCGGCCGUAACUAUAACGGUCCUAAGGUAGCGAAAUUCCUUGUCAGGUAAAUUCUGACCCGCACGAAUGGCGUAACGACUUGGGCGCUGUCUCAACGAGAGAUCCGGUGAAAUUUUAAUACCUGUGAAGAUGCAGGUUACCCGCGACAAGACGGAAAGACCCCAUGGAGCUUUACUGCAGCUUGAUAUUGGACUUUGGUACGAUCUGUACAGGAUAGGUGGGAGCCUAAGAAGCCGGAGCGCCAGCUUCGGUGGAGGCAGCGUUGGGAUACCACUCUGAUCGUAUCGGAGUUCUAACCCGGGACCGUGAACCGGUUCGGGGACAGUGUCAGGUGGGCAGUUUGACUGGGGCGGUCGCCUCCUAAAGAGUAACGGAGGCG